AAAUAAGUAUCCUUUAGCUUUAAAUUUCUCACCCAAGCUCCUUGAUAUAUAUAACUUACAAGGUAAGCCUAUGCAAUGUAAAACUACAUGGACAGGUGUCACGAGGUAAACUAAUGUGCCAGCUACCGCGGUUAUACAUUGAUUUCCUAAUUUCUAUCUUGUUAUUCUUGAACCUUUUAACAGUUAUUAUUCAUUUGUCUAGUGAAAUCGUAUUCCAUUUGUAAAUUAAAAGCUUUAGUUCAAUAAAAUAAAUUUAAUAAUAAAACUAGGAUUAGAUACCCUAUUAUUCUAAAUUUUAAAUAUUAAGAAGUAAAAUAAAUCUCAAACUUAAUCAGGACGACGGUAGAAUUUUAUUAGAGGAGGUUGUUCUUUAAUCGAUAACCCUCGCUCGUUUCUUUUUCUUUAUUAUGUAUAUCGCCGUUGAAACUCAACUUAAGAUUGAGUUAACUUAUUUAUAACUAUAGGUCAACAGGUCUAGAUACAAAUAAUGUAAAAGUGUGAAAUGACCUACAAAAUGCAAAUAAUCUUAGUGGUAUCCAGUAUAAUGCUAGAUACCAAAGGAUUUAAAAGUAAUAUUAAUUAAUUCUAAUAGUAUAAUGAAUUACACCGAUUCUAUGUACAUAUCGCCCGUCACCCUCCUUGGAGGUAAGUCGUAACAAAGUAGAUCCUUCGGAAGAAGGAUCUAGCCAAUA
rnacentral:ncRNA from 1 species